rnacentral:rRNA from 1 species
CCCGGUUUUCGGCUGGGCGAGUAAAGUGGCGCACGGGUGAGUAACGCGUAGGCAACCUGCCCCUGUGUUUGGGAUAACAGUGCGAAAGCGCUGCUAAUACCGGAUGUGGCCAUCGGGCGGGAGUUUGAUGGUCAAAGUCGGCCUCUCGAAGAAGCCGGCGCACGGGGAUGGGCCUGCGUCCUAUCAGCUUGUUGGUAGGGUAACGGCCUACCAAGGCUACGACGGGUAGCUGGUCUGAGAGGAUGAUCAGCCACACUGGCACUGAAACACGGGCCAGACUCCUACGGGAGGCAGCAGUGAGGAAUUUUGCGCAAUGGCCGCAAGGCUGACGCAGCAACGCCGCGUGGGUGAAGAAGGCCUUCGGGUCGUAAAGCUCUGUCAGGUGGGAAGAAUGUCCGGGGGAUGAAUGAUUUUCCGGAGUGACGGUACCACCAGAGGAAGCACCGGCUAACUCCGUGCCAGCAGCCGCGGUAA